AUGUUUAUUGUUAAUUUUAAAUUGUUCAAACAACCAUUUUUCAUUCAAUUUGUCUUUAUGAAUGUAACUGGCAAUUAUGCUAGAUUUUUUCCAACCAGAAAAACCUUAACAAUCAGCUCAAUCCCAUCUUCUUUUUCUUGUAUGUGUGUGCGUGUCUAUUGCAGCAUCUCGUGCCGACAUCUCGUGAGGCCUUCAUCCCUCAUUCAUAAGAGGUUCUUUAUUUCCAUCUCUUUCCCCAUGUGGUGAUGGACUGUCAGUGUUGAAGCACUCAUGCGGAUGAGUUUAGCCAGGGAUGAGUGGAGAGAAAGACAACUACACUCUCAAAGAAAAGGUUCACUUCUAUUUCUCAUCCGUUCUGUAUUUCUUCAUUGCUGCUAAAUAGUAUAUAUACAAAAGCCAUGUUGACAUUUGUUGUUAGAUUCACUUUUCUUGCAUAAAAUUAACCACGUGCCUCAUGGAGGCAACACUGAGACAAUGGAAAGAAAUUAUGUUUUUUAUAAAUAAUUUUUGUGAAUAUUUUCUGAAAUAUUAGCUGAAACGUGUAAUUUGCUCAUAUCAUACCUAAAAUAUCAUGUAUUUGUUUAUUUUAAAGAACAAUGCAAUUGAACCAUUUUUAUUAUGGAAAAUAUUUGUGUAAUAUACUUUUAGUAACACAUGACAGAAUUUAAUACAAUUGGCUACUACAUUUUUAACUAAAUUGUACUUAUUUGUAAUUUUAGUAAUUAUAGCAAACUAAUAGUUCAUCAUAUCAGUUUCUUCAUAAUUACCACAAUCCUAACUUCUUCUUUGUAAAUACUUUUUCAGUUGUGCAAGUGUGCAAUUUACUGAUAUCACAAUACGAUGCUUUUAAAAAGAACAACACAAAGCACUUUUUUUCAGUAAUCAUUAGUGUAACAUACUUUUACUGUUACUUGACAGAAUAUAAUAGAAUUGGCUCCUUGAAUAAGUAGGCCUACUUAUUUGUUACGCAAAAAAUAAUAAUGAGGUUUAUACAUCAAUACUAGAUCUCAUAACUGCAAUAUUCUCUAUUAGUAUUUGUAUUUUUCUCUAUUUAUGUUUUUUAUUUGUUUAUUCAAUAAUUUCUUUAUUAUUAUCAACCUUUUUUUCCAUUAUCCAUAUUAUUAUUAACCGUAAUGUUAUGCGUGGUUUAAAGCGUCCAAAUACUGUAAAAUAAAUGUUUAUCGUUUGAUAGUAUUAUUUGUUUUAAUCACACAAGUCAAACGGCGCUCUGUUUAUAUACACACGCGAAGCCCCGCCCACUGAAUAUUAUCUGCCUACUUUACAUACUAAACUCCGCCUUCCGCCCCCUCACGGCAGCGUCAUGACGGAACAUUAUCCGGUUAAUUUACAUACUAAGCCCCGCCCGCCGUGGCGAACAUGUUCAUACAUCCACCCGGGAUCAUCCGCGGAAAAGGAAGAAAUUACUGGCUGUCAGAAAAGUUUUCCUGCGGGGAGAGGAUCGGGCUCGAUCGGACCGAGGACAACCGGAGGAUCGCGCUCUCAGGAUUAUUAAUUGU
rnacentral:lncRNA from 1 species